UACGAAGGGUGCAAGCGUUACUCGGAAUUACUGGGCGUAAAGCGUGCGUAGGUGGUUUGUUAAGUCUGUUGUGAAAGCCCCGGGCUCAACCUGGGAAUGGCAAUGGAUACUGGCAGGCUAGAGUGCGGUAGAGGGUAGUGGAAUUCCCGGUGUAGCGGUGAAAUGCGUAGAGAUCGGGAGGAACACCGAUGGCGAAGGCAGGUCUCUGGGCCACUACUGACGCUGAGAAGCGAAAGCAUGGGGAGCGAACAGG
rnacentral:rRNA from 1 species